AGGCCAGACUCCUACGGGAGGCAGCAGUGAGGAAUAUUGGUCAAUGGGCGAGAGCCUGAACCAGCCAAGUCGCGUGAGGGAAGACGGUCCUAUGGAUUGUAAACCUCUUUUGCCGGGGAGCAAAAAGCGGUACGUGUACCGCAUCGAGAGUACCCGGAGAAAAAGCAUCGGCUAACUCCGUGCCAGCAGCCGCGGUAAUACGGAGGAUGCGAGCGUUAUCCGGAUUUAUUGGGUUUAAAGGGUGCGCAGGCGGAAGAUCAAGUCAGCGGUAAAAUUGAGAGGCUCAACCUCUUCGAGCCGUUGAAACUGGUUUUCUUGAGUGAGCGAGAAGUAUGCGGAAUGCGUGGUGUAGCGGUGAAAUGCAUAGAUAUCGCGCAGAACUCCGAUUGCGAAGGCAGCGUACCGGCGCCAGACUGACGCUGAGGCACGAAAGCGUGGGGAUCGAACAGGAUUAGAUACCCGGGUA
rnacentral:rRNA from 1 species